AACAUGAAAGAAAAUUAAUAAUGGAUUUCUAAUAUCAAAUCUUGAAAAAAAAUUUAUUUCCAUUGCAGCUGUGGUAUUUUGUAGACUUGGAGUAAUGACCGUUAACAAUUUCCUUGCUGCUUUGAAUAUUCCCACUGUAACUUCUGUAACUUUUAAGAGACGAGAGAGGGAGGUUGGCAAUAUUUUUGAAGCUGUUGCAAAUGAGACUUGUAAUGAAGCCCUUGCCGAGGAGAAAAAAAGAUUCAGUAGAAAUGUUUUUUACUGAUGUAUUUCAACAUAUAAUAUUUUUUCAGUGACUUGAUAGGUUAAAGAUUAUUUAUAAAUUGAUACAAAUUUCAUCAUAGAUCACAAAAUGCCGAAAAAUUUUCCGUGUCCUUUGAUGCUGGAUGGCAGACCAGAGGUAGCGGUCGAAACUAUGCAAGUUUGUCAGGGCAUGCGAGUAUGAUUGGAGAGAAGACAGGAAAAAUUCUUUCAUAUGCUGUUCGGUGCAAGAAAUGCAGAUUCUGUGAUAAAGCACCAGUAUCAGCAGAACUGAAUAAACAUGAUAGUAGAAGAAAUUGGGAAAAAUCCUCAAAGGCAAUGGAACCAGAUAUGGCUUUAGAAAUGUUGCAUGACUUAAAAGCGCGUGACUUCCAUUUAAAACAUCUUAUAAUGGAUAAUGACUCAACAACCUUAGCCAAGGCAAAAAUGUCAUUUGAUCCAAAUGUUCAAAAAAUUUCGGAUUUUAAUCAUACAAAAAAAAUCUGGCAAGUAAACUAUAUGACAUCAAGAAGGAGAAAAAGUAUCCUCUUCUAGGUCCAAAACCCAUUCAACAUUUUCUAAAAUGUUUUUCGUAUGCUGUGAAAUCCAACGAAGACACAGACACUUUAAAGAGAAAUUUAGAGUUAUUCCUCUCCAUGUAUUUGAAAACCACAAGAAAUGUGAAAAAAGUGGUGUAAAUAUCUACAGGACCCAGACAAUUAUAAACCCAUAAAUUUUCCAUAUGGAAAAUAUCUUUCUGGGGUGGAUUUACUCAAAGAUUUACAGCAUCUGUUCAGUGAUUUAGCUAAAAAUGCAAGUAAACUUUCCAAUAUUGGAAGCACUCAGGCAAAUGAAAACUUCAACAAAAUAGUGGCCUGCAAAAAUCCGAAAGCAUUAUAUUACAGUGGAUCUGAGAGCACAUCCUUUAGAGUAGCAGCUGCUGUUGCACAUCAGAAUAUUGGACAUCUGACAAUU